AGAACUGUGGGGACACGUGUGGAGAGCAUAGGCGCGGAAUGGAAAGCCGCGUGCAAGCGAGGUAGGAGUCCUGUAGGAAAAACCGCAGGGCAAUCCGAAGGCGUGAUGCGGACCGAAAUCUAGUAGGGAAGUAUGUGAGCCAUGCGUCAAGAAAAGCCGCUAUUGUUCUUAUUGUACCCGUACCGUAAACCGACACAGGUGGAUGAGGAGAGAAUCCUAAGGCCGACGGAAGAAGCAUUGUUAAGGAACUCGGCAAAAUGACCCCGUAACUUCGGGAGAAGGGGUGCCACAGAAAUGUGGCCGCAGAGAAUAGGCUCAAGCAACUGUUUAGCAAAAACACAGNNNNNNNNNNGGCCGCAGAGAAUAGGCUCAAGCAACUGUUUAGCAAAAACACAGGUCUAUGCAAAACCGAAAGGUGAGGUAUAUGGGCUGACGCCUGCCCGGUGCUGGAAGGUUAAGAGGAGAGGUUAGCGCAAGCGAAGCUUUGAAUUGAAGCCCCAGUAAACGGCGGCCGUAACUAUAACGGUCCUAAGGUAGCGAAAUUCCUUGUCGGGUAAGUUCC
rnacentral:rRNA from 1 species